rnacentral:rRNA from 1 species
UUGCUGGACGUCGAGCGGCGGACGGGUGAGUAACGGCUGGGAACCUGCCCUGACGAGGGGGAUAACCGUUGGAAACGACGGCUAAUACCGCAUAAUGUCUACGGACCAAAGGUGGCCUCUACAUGUAAGCUAUCGCGUUGGGAUGGGCCCAGUUAGGAUUAGCUAGUUGGUAAGGUAAUGGCUUACCAAGGCGACGAUCCUUAGCUGGUUUGAGAGGAUGAUCAGCCACACUGGGACUGAGACACGGCCCAGACUCCUACGGGAGGCAGCAGUGGGGAAUAUUGCACAAUGGGGGAGACCCUGAUGCAGCCAUGCCGCGUGUGUGAAGAAGGCCUUCGGGUUGUAAAGCACUUUCAGCAGUGAGGAAGGUGGUGUACUUAAUACGUGCAUUGCUUGACGUUAGCUGCAGAAGAAGCACCGGCUAACUCCGUGCCAGCAGCCGCGGUAAUACGGAGGGUGCGAGCGUUAAUCGGAAUUACUGGG